AGAGUUUGAUCCUGGCUCAGGAUAAACGCUGGCGGCGCACAUAAGACAUGCAAGUCGAACGGACUUAAUCGAAAUAUUUAUAUUUUGAAGCGGUUAGUGGCGGACUGGUGAGUAACGCGUAAGGAACCUGCCUAUUAGAGGGGAAUAACAGUGAGAAAUCAUUGCUAAUACCGCAUAUGCCAUAGAUAUCACAUGAUAACAGUGGGAAAGGAGCAAUCCGCUAAUAGAUGGCCUUGCGUCUGAUUAGAUAGUUGGUGGGGUAACGGCCUACCAAGUCGACGAUCAGUAGCCGGACUGAGAGGUUGAACGGCCACAUUGGGACUGAGAUACGGCCCAGACUCCUACGGGAGGCAGCAGUCGGGAAUAUUGCGCAAUGGAGGAAACUCUGACGCAGUGACGCCGCGUAUAGGAAGAAGGUUUUCGGAUUGUAAACUAUUGUCGUUAGGGAAGAGAAAGGACAGUACCUAAGGAGGAAGCUCCGGCUAACUACGUGCCAGCAGCCGCGGUAAUACGUAGGGAGCGAGCGUUAUCCGGAAUUAUUGGGUGUAAAGGGUGCGUAGACGGGAGAACAAGUUAGUUGUGAAAUACCUCGGCUCAACUGAGGAACUGCAACUAAAACUGUACUUCUUGAGUGCAGGAGAGGUAAGUGGAAUUCCUAGUGUAGCGGUGAAAUGCGUAGAUAUUAGGAGGAACACCAGUGGCGAAGGCGACUUACUGGACUGUAACUGACGUUGAGGCACGAAAGUGUGGGGAGCAAACAGGAUUAGAUACCCUGGUAGUCCACACCGUAAACGAUGGAUACUAGGUGUAGGAGGUAUUAAGCCUUCUGUGCCGUCGCAAACGCAGUAAGUAUCCCACCUGGGGAGUACGGCCGCAAGGUUGAAACUCAAAGGAAUUGACGGGGGCCCGCACAAGCAGUGGAGUAU
rnacentral:rRNA from 1 species